UACGGAGGGUGCAAGCGUUAAUCGGAAUUAUUGGGCGUAAAGCGCACGCAGGCGGUAAAUUUAGUCAGUUGUGAAAUCCCGCGGCUUAACGCGGGAAUUGCAUUUGAUACUGUUUAGCUAGAGUAUCGUAGGGGGAGGUGGAAUUCCAUGUGUAGCGGUGAAAUGCGUAGAUAUGUGGAAGAAUACCGGUGGCGAAGGCGGCUUCCUAGGCGAUGACUGACGCUCAGGUGCGAAAGCGUGGGGAGCGAACAGG
rnacentral:rRNA from 1 species